rnacentral:rRNA from 1 species
UGGGGAAUCUUCCGCAAUGGACGAAAGUCUGACGGAGCAACGCCGCGUGAGUGAAGACGGCCUUCGGGUUGUAAAGCUCUGUGAUCCGGGACGAAAGAGCCUGAGGUGAAUAGCCUAAGGAAGUGACGGUACCGGAAAAGCAAGCCACGGCUAACUACGUGCCAGCAGCCGCGGUAAUACGUAGGUGGCAAGCGUUGUCCGGAAUUAUUGGGCGUAAAGCGCGCGCAGGCGGCUUCCUAAGUCCAUCUUAAAAGUGCGGGGCUUAACCCCGUGAUGGGAUGGAAACUGGGAAGCUGGAGUAUCGGAGAGGAAAGUGGAAUUCCUAGUUUAGCGGUGAAAUGCGUAGAGAUUAGGAAGAACACCGGUGGCGAAGGCGACUUUCUGGACGAAAACUGACGCUGAGGCGCGAAAGCGUGGGGAGCAAACAGG